rnacentral:rRNA from 1 species
GACGAACGCUGGCGGCGUGCUUAACACAUGCAAGUCGAACGGUGAAGCGCCUUCCUUUUUGGUGGGUGUGGAUGAGUGGCGAACGGGUUAGUAACACGUUAGUAACCUUCCCCCUUCUUCUGGAUAACCGCAUGAAAGUGUUGCUAAUACGUGAUAUUCUGGGUCUGUCGCAUGAUGGGUCUGGGAAAGAUAUUGUUUCGGUUGGGGAUGGGCUCGCGGCCUAUCAGCUUGUUGGUGGGGUGAUGGCCUACCAAGGCGGUGACGGGUAGCCGGCCUGAGAGGGUCGACGGUCACAGUGGGAAGGAGACGUGGAGAAGCCUCCUGGGGGCGGCAGCAGGGGGGAAUACUGAACGAUCGGAGGCAGGCUGGUGCAGCGACGCGGGGGGGGGGAUGGAGGUCUGAGCGUUGUGAACCUUUUUUGGGAGUGAAGCAGGGCGGACUUGUUUGUGGGUGGGUUGACGGUAGCUGGAUAAGAAGCGACGGCUAACUACGUG